rnacentral:lncRNA from 1 species
AUGUUGGGACAUUCAGGUCUUGCUGGUCUGGAUUUCCUGGACUCUUGGUGGUGUCAUAUUGAUCUUUCUGUUGUUAAAUGUGUUCUUAAACUGUCUUCUUCCAAUCCCUGCUUCCAGUUGGUGCUGGUGGGAUCUCUCCCUCUCCUGGUGGGUACACAUAUAAGGUUCUCUUCAGGUAGGUACAAGCAGGUACAAAAUUCCAAUGGCUGUCCUUUUCCCGUGGGUGGAUGCAAGACUAGCACCUCGAAGCUGGCAUACACUGGAUGGCCUGGUCUGCAACUGGGAUGGGUUCCUGAAAGUGCAGUCCUCAGGUCUCAGGAGGCUCUGAGCAGAGCACUUGAAGAUCAUAUUUGUUUCAGGCUAUGCUUUUGGGAAUGUUUCCAACUCUUCCAUCAGUGUCUCCUCUCCCAGGAAGAAGAUAAUAUUUGAAUUACUUAAGGCAAGCCUUUUGAAAAGCAGUUGAUGCAGUAAAAACAGGUAUUGUCACUCCCUUCCUAGAGUAUAAAAAUGUGUUCCUGUCAGUGUACACCUGCUUUCCUGCUUAGCAACAUUUGUGCAAACCAUUCCCUAUUGUUCUUGGAGCAGUAAGGGCCUGUGUUGUGAGGCUGAGAGGCACUACAGGAUUUAUUUUGCUUCUGAAUUGCAAGGAAGCAUGGUAAUUGUCCAUUAUUUGAAAAAGGAUUUGGAAGUGUGAUGGAUAGUUAUCACUUAUGUUAGUUAAUGACACAAGGGCCACCCACAGUGGUUUCUAAUGACAGAGCAUCUGUAAAAGGCACACUAGCUUCCUAUCAGAUGGUCCAAGUGCCACUUCCAGAGCUCAGUGUGUCCAGGAGUGAACAUCAGAAGGUAGCUAGUGAUUCCCUCUUACGGAAUGGCUUGCAUGCAUUCCUUUUGCUGCUGGCCAUAGUGGAGAGUCAGUUCUUUUGUUGUUCCCAUUGCUAUUUCUUUUCUGCUCAUGUGGGUUUCCACAUAAUUCAUUCCCUCAGACAAGUGGUCAGAAACAGGAAGAAACUCAGCCAACCACAUGCCACUCAAGCCUCACCACAUACAAACCAUCUCUGCUGACAGAACCAAUUGAGGAGUUUCUAACUCCAUUUUCUUUCUUUUUUUUUUUUUUUUUUUUUUUUUUUUUUUUUUUUCAAAUAGCUUCUUAGUGGCUUUAAGUUUUGUUGUUGUUGUUGAGAAAUAAGACAAUAAAUUUAAAAGGUCACAAGUGUAAAGAUGGCAUCCCAGUUGACAAAGUCUUUCUCCCCCUGCAUCUCCACCAG